AUUUGGUGACUGAGUGGCGGACGGGUGAGUAACGCGUGGGUAACCUGCCUUAUACAGGGGGAUAACAGUUGGAAACGGCUGCUAAUACCGCAUAAGCGCACAGGGUCGCAUGACCUGGUGUGAAAAACUCCGGUGGUAUGAGAUGGACCCGCGUUGGAUUAGCUGGUUGGUGAGGUAACGGCCCACCAAGGCGACGAUCCAUAGCCGACCUGAGAGGGUGACCGGCCACAUUGGGACUGAGACACGGCCCAAACUCCUACGGGAGGCAGCAGUGGGGAAUAUUGCACAAUGGGCGAAAGCCUGAUGCAGCGACGCCGCGUGAGCGAAGAAGUAUUUCGGUAUGUAAAGCUCUAUCAGCAGGGAAGAUAAUGACGGUACCUGACUAAGAAGCACCGGCUAAAUACGUGCCAGCAGCCGCGGUAAUACGUAUGGUGCAAGCGUUAUCCGGAUUUACUGGGUGUAAAGGGAGCGCAGGCGGUACGGCAAGUCUGAUGUGAAAGCCCGGGGCUCAACCCCGGUACUGCAUUGGAAACUGUCGAACUAGAGUGUCGGAGGGGUAAGUGGAAUUCCUAGUGUAGCGGUGAAAUGCGUAGAUAUUAGGAGGAACACCAGUGGCGAAGGCGGCUUACUGGACGAUAACUGACGCUGAGGCUCGAAAAGCGUGGGGAGCAAACAGGAUUANAUACCC
rnacentral:rRNA from 1 species